AGAGAGCAUAUUUAAAUUCACACAGGACACCGGAUAAGACAAGAGAAAUACUCCAGAUGUAACAGACUGACCCUAGCCCCCCGACACAUAAACUACUGCAGCAUAAAUACUGGAGGCUGAGACAGGAGGGGUCAGGAGACACUGUGGCCCCAUCCGAUGAAACCCCCGGACAGGGCCAAACAGGCAGGAUAUAACCCCUCCCACUUUGCCAAAGCACAGCCCCCACACCACUGGAGGGAGUGUAAUUGAUUGCAUGCAAUUCACCUUUUCAUGUCUGAGCUCUCACAUGAGGAUCCCUUUAAGGACCACUCGGACUGUUCAUCAGAGACAAACCAACUGUCCUUUGGUGUGAGGUAGUAGGUUGUAUAGUUUUAGGGUCACACCCAAGCUGUCAGAUGACUAUACAACAUACUGUCUUUCCUGAAGUGGCUGUAAUAUCAUCACAGACUCUCCACAUGAAGAACCCUCGUCAAAAGCUGCAAUGAAAAUGUACCUUUCGUGCCUACGUUAUUACCAUUAUUACAAUAUUAUUACAUAAUUGUAUUAUUAUUCAUUUUAUAUUUGAACAGGAAAUGAGAUUUCACAUUUUCUGGUUGGACUCCAUCUCUAACCAACUGGUCAAUCGGAUUGUGACCGGUCGAUGGUUCAUGGUGUUCGCACAGGGUGAGGUAGUAGGUUGUGUGGUUUCAGGGUUGUUAUUUUGCCCCAUCAGGAGUUAACUGUACAACCUACUGCCUUCCCUGAAGGGCAGCAACACAACGCUACGAGCAUGGCCACAAUGGAGCUCACUGUCUACUGUGCUGUUUUUAAGUGGAGCGAAAAGUAAAGAAGGUAAGCUAUCUCAAAUCAUUGCCUUGGUACUUUUUAUUUAUCUUAAAUAGGCAAGUCAGUUAAGAACAAAUUCUUAUUUUCAAUGACAGCCUAGGAACAGUGGGUUAACUGCCUUGGUCAGGGGAAGAACAACAGAUUUUCACCUUGUCAGCUCAGGGAUUUGAUCUUGCAACCUUUUGGUUACUAGUCCAACGCUCUAACCACCUAGGCUACCUGCUACACAACAUGUGCUAAACAGAGUAUUGUAUUGGAAUUUGGAAAUAGGCCUAUUGUUUAUAUACCUUCAAUUUUGUAAUAAUGCGUACUGUACUAAAAGUCAUAAUAAAAAGUGAGUAGUCUUAGUCACAUGUGUGUCGACUCCUUUUGGUUGUCAAGAAAUGGAAGUAUAACGUUAUGCAUGUUCCUUGAAAUACUGUAUGUGGCCAUUUCUUAUCCUGGACAUGAAGACUGAAACAUCUGCUGGAAGGAUGGAUCAAUCAAUACAUAAAGAAGAAUACAUGUCAGGAUACAAAUAAAUGUUAAACAAGGCCAACAUUUUGUAACGUUGUGUUUGAAAUCUAUAACGUUUGUGUCCCCACUCUCUUCCCAGCCAGAUUCCAUGUCAUUUAUAGCUUGUAUGGUAAAUAAAAUAUGCACACAGCCAGCCCGGACAGCCAUUAGCCAGUGUAUAGGGCAGAUGCCCAUGUCACUGCUCCAGAAUUUAUGACUGUCAGCUGGCACAGGCACACACAGUCCCAGACCGACAGAAGGAAACACGGCCGCAGGGGGAAAUGAGGGUUUGAAGACUGCAUUUUCUAUACAAGGCCACACCAUCUCAAACAGCACCCUAUAACUGUUUUAACUGUGUUUAUUUAUUAAAUGUGAAUGAAGUGAGUUCACUGGGCGAUUUGUUCAUUGACAAUGUCAAUGAAUUGCAUAGUUGCAAGGCUAUUAAUUAGGUAACAACACCAGGUGGCGCCCUAGAUCAUUGUAUUUUCUGCAGCCAGGCAAGUUUUCCUUCCGUAAUGAUUUUACAGACCAAAUUAAAAUAUAUUUGUAGCCAUAUAUAGAAGUAAAUAUAGAAGUACAUUCAGCCAUUGCAGCCCAAAAGAGCCACCAUAAAGAUAUAGUCAGGAAGCAAACUGUGGGUGCAUUUUUGGAAUGACCAGACUAUACCAACAAGCAAUGGUUGAGAGAAAGUUAAAAAGUGGACAGUCACUUUAGCCUACUGUCUACUCCUGUUCACUUAUAGUAGGGUAGACUUGCCAUCGUGCAGAUGAUACAUUUAGUUUAUGUCCACAUCUCAGUGGUUUUCUGUAUCUUUUUCUUUAAAACUUAUUUUAAGAUUGACUGCCAGAGAUGACAGUGAAUGAUUUACAGUCUAAAAACAUGUUGGCCUAUUCAUGAAAUAUUUGGAAAUGUCAUACAGACACUUCACAUUCAUACGUACACUGACUCCUCUUUCAUUUGCUAUCAUGUGUUGUAUGUGGCUUGAUGGCUACUUGGCCUUCGUCUGUCAUUUGCUUUUAAAUUGAACAAGACAAAUUCCCUAUUGUAUUAUUUUCUAUUCAAUUGCAUUUUGGACAGGGUUUUGCAAUGCAUUUAGUAGUGGGUGAUGGAUACUUUCUGUUAUCUGGGGUUCAUGAAACUGUAGGAUAAAUGAAAAGCUUUGGCAUGUCUCUGUGGAGCUGGCCAGUGGGCAUUCUCAAAUCUCUAUUACGGUUUAACAAUAGGCUUUUAAUCAAAUGGAAAUCUCAACUGUGUGGAACAGGUGUCUCUCACUGAGACCUCUGAUUUCCUAUUCGCUGAAACCAUAGGUUUUGUCAGGAGGUGUGUGCUUCUCCGGGGCUGUAUUACUACAUCAUUUCCGAAAGGGAGUGUGACGGUUUUGACAGAGGGUACAGUAGUUUUGACCGAGUCAGUAGCGAACAACGCAGGCUUGUUUGUAUCAAAGGGACUAUAUGCACCUGCCCCCUCUGAUUUCACCUCUGACAGUCGUAUUCAGCACGCUUUGCAACCAUAUGGCGACUUUGGAUUGGACAGUCAUUGUUGAGGCCGGUGGUAGCUGGUCCACUGCAGGAUGCUGAGGUACAGGAGGUCUCUCCGCCCCCCCUGGACAUCAGGGGGGCCCCGGCGUACACAGUCCGGUCCAUCUUGGACUCCAGGCGCCGGGUAAGGGGCCUGCAGUACCUCGUGGACUGGGAGGGGUACGGUCCGAAGGAGAGGUGCUGGGUACCGGUGGAGGACAUCUUGGACCCAUCGCUGAUGCGGGAGUUCCACAGCCUCCAUCCGGAUCGCCCUGCGUCUCGCCCUCCGGGUCGUCCUCGAGGCCGGCGUCGGCGCGCUGCGGGAGCCACGCGUCGGGGGGGGUACUGUCACAACGUCGACUGAAGGUGGCGCCUCUCCCCGUUCGGGCGGCGCUCGGCAGUCGUCGUCGCCAGCCUACUAGCUGCCACAGAUCCUCUGUUAAUUUUCUUUUGGUUAGGUCUAGUUUAUAUUUGCACCUGUAUUGUGUUAGUUCAUUAGUGGGGGGGUUAUUUAGUCUUUCUGUUUAGGUUUGGGUUUCUGCAUGAUUGUUUUCGUCAGGUUUGUUAGGCUGGGGUUAAGUGUUUUUCCCUCUGCCUGUGUGUUAGUAAGGCUGCGAAUUUUGGGCUGCGCCCCUACUCUGUUUUCGGGCUCAUCCCGUUAUUUUGUAUUGUUUCCCUGCCUUACCUGUUUUUUGGCAGUUGUGGAUUGUGCAUAUUAAACGUGUGUUCACGGACA